UACGAGAGGUGCGAGUGUUAUUCUUCAUGAUUGGGCGUUAAGGGUACGUAGAUUGUAAAUUAAGUUUAAAUUUCGGAUAUAUACUUUUUUAUACUUAUUUUUAUACUAUUUUACUUGAGUUGUAAGGAGGAUUGAAGAAUUACUUAUCUAGGAUUUAAAAACGAGCGAUGAUAAUUAGGAAUGUCAAAGGUGAAGACACAAAUCUACUUACAACUGACAUUGAGGUACGAAAGUAUGGGGAUCAAAUGGG
rnacentral:rRNA from 1 species